GCAAAGGAAGCUAAUUGAUAGCGUUCGGCUGUUAACCGAAAGUAAGUGGUUUCUCCACCCUUUGCU
rnacentral:tRNA from 1 species